rnacentral:rRNA from 1 species
GACGAACGCUGGCGGCGUGCUUAACACAUGCAAGUCGAACGAUGAAGCCUAGCUUGCUAGGUGGAUUAGUGGCGAACGGGUGAGUAAUACGUGAGUGACCUACCUUUGACUCUGGGAUAAGCCUGGGAAACUGGGUCUAAUACCGGAUACGACCAAUCUCCGCAUGGGGUGUUGGUGGAAAGCGUUAUGGAGUGGUUUUAGAUGGGCUCACGGCCUAUCAGCUUGUUGGUGAGGUAAUGGCUUACCAAGGCGACGACGGGUAGCCGGCCUGAGAGGGUGACCGGCCACACUGGGACUGAGACACGGCCCAGACUCCUACGGGAGGCAGCAGUGGGGAAUAUUGCACAAUGGGCGCAAGCCUGAUGCAGCGACGCCGCGUGAGGGAUGACGGCCUUCGGGUUGUAAACCUCUGUUAGCAUCGAAGAAGCGAAAGUGACGGUAGGUGCAGAGAAAGCGCCGGCUAACUACGUGCCAGCAGCCGCGGUAAUACGUAGGGCGCGAGCGUUGUCCGGAAUUAUUGGGCGUAAAGAGCUUGUAGGCGGUUGGUCGCGUCUGCUGUGAAGGCUGGGGCUUAACCCUGGUUUUGCAGUGGGUACGGGCUAACUAGAGUGCAGUAGGGGAGACUGGAAUUCCUGGUGUAGCGGUGGAAUGCGCAGAUAUCAGGAGGAACACCGAUGGCGAAGGCAGGUCUCUGGGCUGUAACUGACGCUGAGAAGCGAAAGCAUGGGGAGCGAACAGGAUUAGAUACCCUGGUAGUCCAUGCCGUAAACGUUGGGCACUAGGUGUGGGGGACAUUCCACGUUUUCCGCGCCGUAGCUAACGCAUUAAGUGCCCCGCCUGGGGAGUACGGCCGCAAGGCUAAAACUCAAAGAAAUUGACGGGGGCCCGCACAAGCGGCGGAGCAUGCGGAUUAAUUCGAUGCAACGCGAAGAACCUUACCAAGGCUUGACAUAUACUGGACUGCGUCAGAGAUGGCGUUUCCCUUCGGGGCUGGUAUACAGGUGGUGCAUGGUUGUCGUCAGCUCGUGUCGUGAGAUGUUGGGUUAAGUCCCGCAACGAGCGCAACCCUCGUUCUAUGUUGCCAGCACGUGAUGGUGGGGACUCAUAGGAGACUGCCGGGGUCAACUCGGAGGAAGGUGGGGAUGACGUCAAAUCAUCAUGCCCCUUAUGUCUUGGGCUUCACGCAUGCUACAAUGGCCGGUACAGAGGGUUGCGAUACUGUGAGGUGGAGCUAAUCCCUAAAAGCCGGUCUCAGUUCGGAUUGGGGUCUGCAACUCGACCCCAUGAAGUCGGAGUCGCUAGUAAUCGCAGAUCAGCAACGCUGCGGUGAAUACGUUCCCGGGCCU